rnacentral:rRNA from 1 species
GAGGGGUGAUCGUCACMCUGGACUGAGACACGGCCCAGACUCCUACGGAGGCAGCAGUAGGAAUCUCCGCAAUGGACGAAAGUCUGACGGAGCAACGCCGCGUGAGUGAUGAAGGYUUUCGGRUCGUAAAGCUCUGUUGUUAGGGAAGAACAAGURCURKUYGAAUAAGGCYGGYACCUUGACGGUACCUAACCCAGAAAGCCACGGCUAACUACGUGCCAGCAGCCGCGGUAAUACGUAGGUGGCAAGCGUURUCCGGAAUUAUUGGGCGUAAAGSGCKCGCAGGYGGUUUCUUAAGUCUGAUGUGAAAGCCCMCGGCUCAACCGKGGAGGGUCAUUGGAAACUGGGRRACUUGAGUGCAGAAGAGGARAGUGGAAUUCCAYGUGUAGCGGUGAAAUGCGUAGAGAURUGGAGGAACACCAGUGGCGAAGGCGACUYUCUGGUCUGUAACUGACRCUGAGGMGCGAAAGCGUGGGGAGCRAACAGGAUUAGAUACCCUGGUAGUCCACGCCGUAAACGAUGAGUGCUAAGUGUUAGRGGGUUUCCGCCCUUUAGUGCUGMAGYUAACGCAUUAAGCACUCCGCCUGGGGAGUACGGYCGCAAGRCUGAAACUCAAAGGAAUUGACGGGGGCCCGCACAAGCGGUGGAGCAUGUGGUUUAAUUCGAAGCAACGCGAAGAACCUUACCAGGUCUUGACAUCCUCUGACAAYCCUAGAGAUAGGRCKUCYCCUUCGGGAGCAGAGUGACAGGUGGUGCAUGGUUGUCGUCAGCUCGUGUCGUGAGAUGUUGGGUUAAGUCCCGCAACGAGCGCAACCCUUGAUCUUAGUUGCCAKCAUUMAGUUGGGCACUCUAAGGUGACUGCCGGUGACAAACCGGAGGAAGGUGGGGAUGACGUCAAAUCAUCAUGCCCCUUAUGACCUGGGCUACACACGUGCUACAAUGGACAGWACAAAGAGCWGCRARACCGCGAGGUGRAGCCAAUCYCAYAAAUCYGUUCUCAGUUCGGAUYGYAGKCUGCAACUCGCCURCRUGAAGCUGGAAUCGCUAGUAAUCGCGG